AGAUUUGUAGAGUUCUCUUCUCUUGUUGUAUGUGUGCGUGAAUACUCCAAUGGAGAAAGAUGAGAGCUUGUUCUAGGUGAUUUAUGAAGAGAGAUUGAUGAGAGUGUUUAUGAGAGAAUAAGAGACUUAGGAACAAAGAUUAAGAGACUGAGAGAUUAGGAGAAUAAGAGAUUAGAGAUUAGGGUUUGAGAUUCAAGAACAAGUUUAUCAUUUAUGAAGUGGAGAGGGGAAAUCCCCCUUACUCCCUUAGGAGUUACAAAACGUUCACAACAAUGCCUUAUAUAGGCUUUUACACUUUGCAAUCAUAAACCCUUAAUCUAAUGGAUAGAAAUGACUUGAGAAAUGGAUGGCUUGGAUGUAGUCUUGUUUCUGGUCAAAGGGAGCACGAGAUGGUAGCUGAUUGGUGGAGAGGAGCUGCUGCCUGAUUGGUUAUGCUAAGGCUCCCAUGAACCUUUACUCACAUAUGUGUCUAGAUUCAUGGUCCAACUUGCUUUCCCUUUACAUCUCAUGACAGGCUGUCCUUGGACCACGCCCUCUCUCCUUUCCCUUGCUUUCCAACAGUCACAAAGAAGAUAAGGUCGUCUGAUUGCUCUUGGAAACCAACGCCCUAAGUUUGCACAGCUUCUGGUGAGUUUCCCGGAUGUGUGGUCGAGAGGUGUGGUCGUACGGUCGAUGGUACGGAUCUCCUGUCCGUACCACUCGCCCUAUUUAUGCCCAAUACUCUUCCUCCUUCUUCUGAUCAGUCUAAGUCCCUCCUGGACUUAUCUUCACAAGAUAACUACUUCAGAACACUUCUGAAGCUUGAUUGAACUCUUCUGGACAUCUUCUAGAGCUUGCCCUAUCAUUGUACAAGCUCCAUCUUCUCUUCAGUUCAACACUCCCCCUCAAGCUUGACUUUAGGAGAUCCUAAGCCAAGCUUGGAACUCUGAAGAGUCUCCCUCAUUAAAAACCUUACAAGGAAAACCCAUUGGGACAAAACCUUGUAAGGGAAAAAGAGUAGAGCUCUCCAAAGCCUAGGGAUUGGCCAGUGAACUCUUGUGCCUUAGAACCAGUGUGGUUGGACACAAGAAGCUCUGGAUCACGGCCUAACAGGUGCAGCAACUCUUCACAGCUUUGCGCACACUUCACACUUCAGCUUCACCUCUUCAUGGAACCGGUUUGAAGUCUCCCCCUCUCAACUGACUUCACAGCCAUCUUAGAGAAGCUAGGACACGACCAGAUCAUCUUCAAAACACUAGUGAGGCUGAUCAACACUUCACACACGGCUUGCCCUCUUCAUAGAACUGGUUUGGAUCUCCCCCUCUCAACAGACUUCUCAGCCAUCUUAGAGAAGCUAGGAACUGACCAGGAACAUCUUUAGUGAGGCUCAAGCAAUGGUACCUGAUACAUUAUCCCAAAGGUGCAUCAGUACCUAUCAAAAACAAGAAAAUGAAUAUCCUGCAUCACACUUGAUGCACACAAUCUCACAAUUCAAUCAUAAUCAUCUUAAGUAUCUUUUCAAGCACAAGCAAUGAAUAAGAUGAAUGAAAUAGAUUGAAAAGAGUUUUAAAAGUCUAAGGGAACUUCCCUUGUGUUUUUGUGAGUUUCCAAACUCUCUCAAUGCACCAUCUUCAUGGCAUCAUCAACUUCUUGGAAAGGCAGAAUGGAUUCAUCAGCUUCUCCUCAAUCACCUCUCAUUGAAGCCGCAUUGAUGGAGAGCCUUCCUCUUCACUCGCCAAGGCUGCUCUGAACAGCCUCUUGCCUAGACACGCCACUGACUUGGUCCGGUUGAUGAUCCUUGUAGAAGCUUUUGCAAAAGACUUGUUACUGACCAUGGAUCAUAUGCAUUAAGACUCCCCCUCAAGCUUAGAACCGAAACUAGAAGGAGCUAAGCUUGUGAUGAUCCUAUGCAUCUCCAUGGUCUAAUAACUAUCAUCUUUCAUGAUAGCUUUCUUCUUGUGAGUUUACUCUCUUCCUUAACCAGGAACUAGGGUGUUUGAAUCACCAUAGAGAGUCUCACAAAACACACUUCUCAUUGCAUAAUGACCCAUGCUACACUUCCUGUAGUCUUUGGACUGGAUAUGUCCAAUGGUAUUAUGCAAUGGCCAUCUCUCAUGCAUUAUCAAUCACACUACACUUCCUGUAGAUUAUGGACUAACAUGUCCUAGUGAUGAUAUGCAAUGGCACAAGACCUUUGUCACUACAUUCUUAGCUGUUGGCGAGUUACAUGUAUCACUUUCCUUGUGUACCUAACACCACCACAACUCAAUGCAAGAUCAGAUCAUCCCAUUGGGAUCAAACCAAGAUAAUUUAUCCUGUUUGAUCACCAAUGCCACAGCAGAAUAUAAACCUUGAAACAAGCCAAUCAAUCAAGGCAGAACAAGCAGGUUUCAAUCUCUAAAAUGACAAUGCAAGAUUUAAACAAUACAUUGACAAUUUAGGCUUAUUUUUAAAUGCAUCAAUACAUGAAUGCACAAUCCUAAAGCAUUAACUAUAUGAAUGCAACAGGUUCAAUCCAUGAGACAUAUUAAUCAAGACCAAUGAGGCAAGCAACUUAGACAAUUUCUAAGGGUUAGGAGGUUUGCUUACAAACAAGAGAUCCGAGCUGAUCUCUUGAACCUCCAUGGGCACGGUUCACUUGAACUUGGCAGGUUUGAGGCUUGGAUUCAAUAUCCAACACCUCUCCUUGGUGUGCCCAUCCCUCUUGCAAUGUUCACACCGAUUGUUCCUAUCCCUCUUGGCGAGUAAUAGGCAGAACACCUUGUCUUGCUCCCUUCUUUCAAUCAACACCUCCGGAUCAACAGAUUGGGGUCUAAGCAUCUCUAGCUCAGACCAAAGGGCUCUGAACUUGCCUAGAUGCACAGUGAACUCCUCAUCUUCUUGGGAUAGGAUGUUGAUGAACUUCUUGAUCUCAAAUACUCGACAGAGGUUGGAGAUGUACCCAUAUAUCUUGUUAAGUGUACUCCAAAGGUCUUUAGCACUCUCACAGUAUGAGUAUGCUUCAAGGAUGGAUGGAGACAUUGAGCUAUGGAGAAUGGAUAAGACCUUGAGGUCUUCUUGUUCCCACUUCUCCUCAGAUACGGAUUUGGAACCGGAUUCACCAUCUGCUGAGCUUUCAUUUGAACCGGCAGCCUUGGAGAGCUUUGGAGCAUCCGUGAGGCAAUGGCUCCAUAAGCCUCUCCCUCCUAGAGCUGUCUUUACCAUGCGUGACCAGAUGGUCUUGGUUUAAAUUGCCUCACCCUCCUGGUGAUGCUCUUCUUUGUAUGUCAACUGUCCUCUCUACACUCAUCUGAUGUGUAGGCUAUGGUGACUGAACCACCAUGGACAGAACAACAAGUCAUCUCUCCAUUGUCACAACAUCCUCUCUACCCUCUUUGGAGCAGGCUGUGGACUUCCCACAGAAUGUUGGCAACAGGCUUCAUUUUAUCAUUCUAUUGUAAUGAUAAGGAGGAAACAGGUCUUGAACUUUAGCUCUUCAGGUUGCUCAUUUGAAUAUUUAGCACCGCAAGCUUGAGACCGAGAAUAGGUGAGAUCCAAGCUUGAAAUGAGCCUCAAUGAACUUCAAGACCAGGAGCACAUCACCCUAACAGCUGCGCUUAAAUCACUGAUCCACCCUUUUGCCUUUAGCUUCAAGUACCCUCAGAUCACCGGCCUUCCUCAUGGCUUAGGUGGUGACCUUCUUCUUCUUGUGUGUCUUGAACCAGGAGCUCAACAACCUCGUGGCCUGCGCUUCUUAAACCGGCUUCUACACACAAGAACCUUCCCAUUGCUCCACACAAUGGUUGGUCUUCCGCUUGUAUGUCUUGAACCAGGAGCUCAACAACCUCGUGGCCUGCGCUUCUUAAACCAGCUUCUACACACAAGUAUCUUCCCAUUGCUCCACACAAUGGUUCAAGUCUUCCUCUUGUCUUGGAUAGGAGGUGAGCAGAGAACACUUCUUGUGAACCUGAAACACCACUCAAACUCCAGCAAGGAUAAGACACAAGAGUAUUGGGAUCAAUCCUUGAUUAAUCAUCAAGUUUGAUUCCCAAUCUCACAAGCAUUGCAACGAAUUAAAACAAGUCAUUUUCAAGUUCUAUCUUUGCAAGCAAUCUCUCUAAGCACAAGCAUUUUCUUUUUCAGUUUAUGCAAGCUACUUAGGCAUUUUAAAGCUUCUUUACUCAGCAUUUAGACAUGAAUCUAAUGCUUCAAUGUAAGACAGCCACAAGACUAUAUGCAACAGCUUUCAAUUCGGUUUCAAUCCAUGUAUGCAAGCAGAUUCAAUCAAUCACAACAAGCAUCAUUAUGAACCGGAGAUAAGCAUAUUAACAUACCUAGUAAUCCUAGUAAUACUGUUAAAUUACUAGUCCUUUUAAAGCGCUUACACAACUGCUAGUAAACUUAGUAUAACUAGUACACAACAAGCAUCAUUAUGAACCGGAGAUAAGCAUAUUAACAUACCUAGUAAUCCUAGUAAUACUGUUAAAUUACUAGUCCUUUUAAAGCGCUUACACAACUGCUAGUAAACUUAGUAUAACUAGUACACUUAAAGGAUUACUAGGGAACCAAGCUCUUUAAGCAUCCUGGGACAGAUUCUAAAUUCAUUUUAUUUCAUUUAGUAAUCUUUUAAACAGUCCUCAGGUUUUCAAUCACAUUACAACAUCACAACCAGUCAACAACACAAGCUCAUUAUCAAGAUGGUUUAUAGAAUUGCUUACAACAAGGAACCAGGUUGAUUCCUUUUGCAUUUUGUGAAACCGGCCAUGACUGUUGUUGGAACUGAGAGUCUAGAUCAUCACCCACCUCCUUCUCCUUCAGUUCAUGGCCACCAUCUUGUACCAUCAACUCAAAAGACCCCUCCUUUCUUCAGAACAUCUAGGCGCCAAGCUCUUGGCACCAUACUCUUUUAGCCUGAUGUGGAACUUCUCUUGGACAAGGAGCUUUGGAGUCAGGUUAGUUAGGCCUCUCCAUACACCUUUGCCUCCAAGGAUAAUCUCCAUCUGAGCAGGUAGAGAACAGGAUGAGGAACCAAGGGAACUCGCCAAGCUUCAGCCUUCUUCUUCAUAAGGGACUGAACUGGAUGGGAAAGCAUCAAUGGUUUGGUUUUGAGCUGAGGCGUGAGCUGUGGACUUGCGGAAGCUUCAGCUCAGGUUCUGAUGAACCUGGCUCUGAUACCAUAUGAGAUUUGUAGAGUUCUCUUCUCUUGUUGUAUGUGUGCGUGAAUACUCCAAUGGAGAAAGAUGAGAGCUUGUUCUAGGUGAUUUAUGAAGAGAGAUUGAUGAGAGUGUUUAUGAGAGAAUAAGAGACUUAGGAACAAAGAUUAAGAGACUGAGAGAUUAGGAGAAUAAGAGAUUAGAGAUUAGGGUUUGAGAUUCAAGAACAAGUUUAUCAUUUAUGAAGUGGAGAGGGGAAAUCCCCCUUACUCCCUUAGGAGUUACAAAACGUUCACAACAAUGCCUUAUAUAGGCUUUUACACUUUGCAAUCAUAAACCCUUAAUCUAAUGGAUAGAAAUGACUUGAGAAAUGGAUGGCUUGGAUGUAGUCUUGUUUCUGGUCAAAGGGAGCACGAGAUGGUAGCUGAUUGGUGGAGAGGAGCUGCUGCCUGAUUGGUUAUGCUAAGGCUCCCAUGAACCUUUACUCACAUAUGUGUCUAGAUUCAUGGUCCAACUUGCUUUCCCUUUACAUCUCAUGACAGGCUGUCCUUGGACCACGCCCUCUCUCCUUUCCCUUGCUUUCCAACAGUCACAAAGAAGAUAAGGUCGUCUGAUUGCUCUUGGAAACCAACGCCCUAAGUUUGCACAGCUUCUGGUGAGUUUCCCGGAUGUGUGGUCGAGAGGUGUGGUCGUACGGUCGAUGGUACGGAUCUCCUGUCCGUACCACUCGCCCUAUUUAUGCCCAAUACUCUUCCUCCUUCUUCUGAUCAGUCUAAGUCCCUCCUGGACUUAUCUUCACAAGAUAACUACUUCAGAACACUUCUG
rnacentral:lncRNA from 1 species